UGGCGGACGGGUGAGUAACGCGUGGGGAACCUGCCCUGUACAGGGGGAUAACACUUAGAAAUAGGUGCUAAUACCGCAUAAGCGCACAGUACCGCAUGAUACAGUGUGAAAAACUCCGGUGGUACAGGAUGGACCCGCGUCUGAUUAGCUGGUUGGCGGGGUAACGGCCCACCAAGGCGACGAUCAGUAGCCGGCCUGAGAGGGUGAACGGCCACAUUGGGACUGAGACACGGCCCAUACUCCUACGGGAGGCAGCAG
rnacentral:rRNA from 1 species